rnacentral:rRNA from 1 species
UACGAAGGGUGCAAGCGUUACUCGGAAUCAUUGGGCGUAAAGCGCACGUAGGCGGCCUGAUAAGUCGGGUAUGAAAGCCCUGGGCUCAACCCAGGAAGUGCACUCGAAACUGUCAGGCUUGAAUAUGGAAGAGGGUCGCGGAAUUCCCGGUGUAGAGGUGAAAUUCGUAGAUAUCGGGAGGAACACCAGUGGCGAAGGCGGCGACCUGGGCCAAUAUUGACGCUGAGGUGCGAAAGCGUGGGGAGCAAACAGG